GGUUUCCGUAGGGUGAACCUGCGGAAGGAUCAUUG
rnacentral:rRNA from 6 species